rnacentral:lncRNA from 12 species
GGCAGGGAGAGGGGAUAGAAUCAGGGACACAGGGUGGGGACACUGGAGGGCAGAGGUGACACCUGGCACAGCACAGGGAGGAGGGGAAAGGGGCAGAGCGAGAGCUGGGGGCUCAGCGCUCGUGUUCCGCUGCUGAGGUGGAAUCCUGGAUUGCGGGGUUUGGGGGACAGAGGGCUCCAGGGGCUACAGGAUUUGGGGGGAAGAGGGUUCCACGAGUUAGGUGAUUUUGGGGAACAGAGGGUUCCAUGGGUUAGAGGGUUUUGGGGAACAGAGGGUUCCAGGGGUGAGAUGAUUUUAGGGAACAGAGGAUUCCAGUGGUUAAAGGAUUUGGGGGGACAGACAAUUCCAGGGGUUAGAGGGUUUUGGGGAAGAGAGGAUUUGGGGGAACAGAGACUUGCAGGGCACAGAGGAUUCCAUGGGUGAGGUGAUUUUAGGGAACAGAGGGUUCCAGGGGUUAAAUGAGGUUUUGGGGGAACAGAAGAUCCCAGGGGUUAGAGGGUUUGGGGGAUUAAAGGAUUUUGGGGAACAGAGGGUUUGGGAGACAGAGGGUUCCAGGGUUCCAGGAUUCUGGGGAAUAAAGGAUUUUGGGGAACAGAGGGUUCCAGCAGAAACAGAGGCCAGACAAAGUUAAAAAGAUAAAAGUAGAUAUAUUUUAUUUAAUAUUUUUUAUUUAAGGGCCUGCAGGUGCAUUAAGGGCAGACAAAGCCUCCCCAAGGGGCUACACCCAAAAUGGACAAUGGAGUUUUUCACACAUUCCAAGUUUGGUUUAUUUACAAAAUCAGGGGUUAAUCCUCCAAUUCCAGCUUCCACAUUCCCCCGGCUUGCUCCCCCCAAAUUCACUUUUAUUGACAUUUUCUGGGGUCACAGCCCCAGAGGGGUCCCCCCCCUGGAGGAACAGAGGGUUCCAUGGGUUAGAGGAUUUUGGGGGAACAGAGGGUUCCAUGGGUUAGAGGAUUUUGGGGGAACAGAGGGUUCCAUGGGUUAGAGGGUUUUGGGGAACAGAGGGUUCCAGGGGUGAGAUGAUUUUAGGGAACAGAGGAUUCCAGUGGUUAAAGGAUUUGGGGGGACAGACAAUUCCAGGGGUUAGAGGGUUUUGGGGAAGAGAGGAUUUGGUGGAACAGAGACUUGCAGGGCACAGAGGAUUCCAUGGGUGAGGUGAUUUUAGGGAACAGAGGGUUCCAGGGGUUAAAUGAGGUUUUGGGGGAACAGAAGAUCCCAGGGGUUAGAGGGUUUGGGGGAUUAAAGGAUUUUGGGGAACAGAGGGUUUGGGAGACAGAGGGUUCCAGGGUUCCAGGAUUCUGGGGAAUAAAGGAUUUUGGGGAACAGAGGGUUCCAG